UCCAGACUCCUACGGGAGGCAGCAGUGGGGGAUAUUGCACAAUGGGGGGAACCCUGAUGCAGCGACGCCGCGUGGGUGAAGGAGUGCUUCGGCAUGUAAAGCCCUAUCGGCAGGGAAGAAGCAAGACGGUACCUGACUAAGAAGCCCCGGCUAACUACGUGCCAGCAGCCGCGGUAAUACGUAGGGGGCGAGCGUUGUCCGGAUUUACUGGGUGUAAAGGGCGUGCAGCCGGAGAGACAAGUCAGAUGUGAAAUCCACGGGCUCAACCCGUGAACUGCAUUUGAAACUGUUUCCCUUGAGUGUCGGAGAGGUAAUCGGAAUUCCUUGUGUAGCGGUGAAAUGCGUAGAUAUAAGGAAGAACACCAGUGGCGAAGGCGGAUUACUGGACGAUAACUGACGGUGAGGCGCGAAAGCGUGGGGAGCAAACAGGAUUAGAUACCCCCGUAC
rnacentral:rRNA from 1 species